AUUGAACGCUGGCGGCAGGCCUAACACAUGCAAGUCGAGCGAGCGGCGGACGGGUGAGUAAUGUAUGGGGACUGCCCGCUAGAGGGGGAUAACUACUGGAAACGGUAGCUAAUACCGCAUACUAUCGGAUAACCCAUAUGGGAUUGGCUUGUAGGUGAGGUAAUGGCUCACCUAGGCGACGAUCCGUCGCUGGUUUGAGAGGACGACCAGCCACACUGAGAAUGAGACGCGGCCCAGACUCCUACGGAGGCAGCAGUGGGGAAUUUUGGACGAGGGGGUAAACCCUGAUCCAGCCAUCCCGCGUGUAUGAUGAAGGCCUUCGGGGUGUAAAGUACUUUUGGCAGAGAAGCGGUAUCUGCAGAAUAAGCACCGGCUAACUACGUGCCAGCAGCCGAGGUAAUUC
rnacentral:rRNA from 1 species